GCUAAGGGCUGAAUGGUAACGGGAACCAUGGUCGACGGUAGCCCAGAACAGCCUGUGCAACUAGACCGCCGCCGUUCCUCCAUUGCCAAAAGACACCGCUUCGUCACCUCUGACGCCACCCACAUCGCGCUCCCUUCUGAAACAAAAUAGUAGCUCUCUCUCUCUCUCCCCCCUCCCAAAGCGCUAUUCCAAUUUUCAACCACCACCGACGCACCACCACCAUCUCUCCUCUCUCUUGACCUAAUCUCUCCUCCUAAACCGAUAUUAUCUCUCGUCCAUCUCUCCUCCUAAACCACCACCGACGACCGCUGCACCAUCGUGGUACCACCACCACCACCACCGGACUCCACCGGCCAUCGAUCUCCUCAGAAAUCGAAGGUGACAACAAGAUGGCCGUUCAACUCAGAAGACGAUCCCACAUGGGAGUGCCAAACUGCCAAAGUAUUUUCUUGGAUAUCAGAUUGUUGAAGCUUCACAUGGGCUUAUCUUUUAAUUGGAGGUCACGGGAUGCUAAUGCGGUGGCUCACUAUGUCGCAACAAUGGUUUGUUUGUAGAUUGGUGAUGGGCUAUUCUCAAGCCAAGGCUCUAAUGCCAGUGUCGCCCAACCGAUGUCAAGCUCUGAGCCAAGGGCCAUCUACCAUCCAAGGUUCUUAAGCCAGCCAAGUAUCACAACCCAUGGGUCUUCCAUCUGCAUCCUAAGGGAUAAAAAAGAUGAACUCAGACAUGUCUUCUUCUUCUUUUUGUUGCUGAACGUGAAGUAUUUUUUGUAUAUGGUAUAUUAAUGAACUUUGCCAACACUAUGGUUGGGAAAGUUGCAAUUGGUGUAGUAUGUAAGUGGAACAUUGGUUGGAAAAAAUCGCAAUGAAUUGUGGUGAUUG